rnacentral:lncRNA from 1 species
CCGAGUGCUCUUCCGAUCUCGUGGGAAGCCGAUCCCGUGCUAAGUUGGUCUAAGUUAGCACAAUGAAAUUCGUUUACACACUGAAAUUCAGAGGCAUUAGUACUUUUAAGGGCAAUUGACGUGUGCGACCGCGCACUAGAAUUAGGUUAAUAAUUGUGUAAAUAGGAGAAAUAAAAAA